rnacentral:pre_miRNA from 17 species
UCCUCCUUUAGUGUGUAUCCCAGCCACCUCAGGACGCUGUAUGAUGAUACAGCGUCCUGAGGUGGCUGGGAUACACACUAAAGG